AACUUAAAGGAAUUGACGGGGGAGCACCACAACGGGUGGAGCUUGCGGUUUAAUUGGAUUCAACGCCGGAAAUCUUACCGGGACCGACAGCAAUAUGAAGGCCAGGCUGAAGACUUUGCCGGAUUAGCUGAGAGGUGGUGCAUGGCCGUCGUCAGUUCGUACUGUGAAGCAUCCUGUUAAGUCAGGCAACGAGCGAGACCCACGCCCACAGUUGCCAGCGUACUCUCUGGAGUGACGGGUACACUGUGGGGACCGCCGCUGCUAAAGCGGAGGAAGGAAUGGGCAACGGUAGGUCAGUAUGCCCCGAAUAUCCCGGGCUACACGCGAGCUACAAUGGUUGGUACAAUGGGUAUCUACCCCGAAAGGGGACGGGAAUCUCCUAAAACCAAUCUUAGUUCGGAUUGAGGGCUGCAACUCGCCCUCAUGAAGCUGGAAUCCGUAGUAAUCGCGUUUCAACAGAACGCGGUGAAUACGUCCCUGCUCCCU
rnacentral:rRNA from 1 species